AUUGAACGCUGGCGGAAUGCUUUACACAUGCAAGUCGAACGGCAGCACGGACUUCGGUCUGGUGGCGAGUGGCGAACGGGUGAGUAAUACAUCGGAACGUGCCCAGUCGUGGGGGAUAACGUAGCGAAAGCUACGCUAAUACCGCAUACGAUCUAAGGAUGAAAGCGGGGGAUCGCAAGACCUCGCGCGAUUGGAGCGGCCGAUGGCAGAUUAGGUAGUUGGUGGGUAAAGGCUCACCAAGCCGACGAUCUGUAGCUGGUCUGAGAGGACGACCAGCCACACUGGGACUGAGACACGGCCCAGACUCCUACGGGAGGCAGCAGUGGGGAAUUUUGGACAAUGGGCGCAAGCCUGAUCCAGCCAUUCCGCGUGCAGGAUGAAGGCCCUCGGGUUGUAAACUGCUUUUGUACGGAACGAAAAGGCUCUGGUUAAUACCUGGGGCUCAUGACGGUACCGUAAGAAUAAGCACCGGCUAACUACGUGCCAGCAGCCGCGGUAA
rnacentral:rRNA from 1 species